rnacentral:rRNA from 1 species
GACGUAGGGGACGAGCGUUGUCCGGAUUCAUUGGGCGUAAAGCGCGCGUAGGCGGUUUGGUAAGUCGGGUGUGAAAACCAGAGGCUCAACCUCUGGCCUGCAUCCGAUACUGCCCGACUAGAGGUAGGUAGGGGAGAUCGGAAUUCCUGGUGUAGCGGUGAAAUGCGUAGAUAUCUGGAGGAACACCGGUGGCGAAGGCGACGUCCUGGACCGGCAUUGACGCUGAGGCGCGAAAGCCAGGGGAGCAAACGGG